rnacentral:rRNA from 1 species
AGCCACAGCCAUAUCACCCUGCAGCCCAAGACCGGUUACUCACUGAAGCUAAGCAGGGCUGAGCCUGGUCAGUAUCUGGAUGGGAGCCACAUGGGAAAACUAGGCUGCUGUUGGAA